rnacentral:lncRNA from 1 species
CAAAACAGUGUUAAAGCUAAACUUCAUAUAAAAGCAAUAACUAUAUGAUUGUACACAAUAUUCGUAUAUAUAUAUAAAUAAACAUCAUUUCUUGUGUGUGUAAAUGUUGUUUACAAGUUGUUAUUUUGUAUACCAAUUAUAAGUUUUAGAGAACUUCUAAACUCAAUAAGAUAAAACAAAGAGGCAUACAUGUACAGUACACAAUGACAAUAAAAAUUGUUUCCUUGAUAAAUCUUAUUGACCUCAUAUUAAAUAACUUCAAACUAAUGUGUACACAUAAAAUUGAUACAAAGAUAUCUUGUCAUAUAGCUCCUCAACGGGUUCAGUACUUAUACAUCUUCGGAUUUCAAAUGUUUGGCUUUGGGCAUUCCUGAUGAAAGUAAAUCCAGAAAAGCGCUUCGGAUGCAUGAAAUUAUUAAACGUGAUGUUUUCCAUUUUUUGUGGACUCAAAAUCUGAGAAUUAAUAACAAUAAUACCAAAGAUGAUGAUAAUAAUGGAUGGCUGCUUAUUGUCUGAACAGCAAAUUAAUACGGUGAAACCUGGCUGAACCGAAUCCUGCAUAAACAGAAAAAAACCUGUAUAAACCAAACAUGAUUGUAAGCACCUUUAUAUCAAACUGUAUGCGUUGCGAACCUGAUAAAACCGAACAGCGACCAAAACUGAACAAAAUCUUUAAUCCCAAAGAGGUUCGGUUUAGCCAGGUUUCACUUUAUACUGUAAAUCAACUUAUUUUCGCAGAUACUAUAUUUUGCCUUUUACCCUUUUUAGGCCACUUCAUGACUAUUUAAUUUCCUGAUUUUCUAAUUAACUUGUUAUAGUUUGAUAAGAAAUGAUCAAAGAUCUGCAUAUUCGCGACGAUUUAUAUUAGCAUUAUUUUUCUACUCCUGAAAGUCACGAAAAUAAGUUGGUUUACGGUACAUAUUCAGGAUGAGAACAUGUUAGUGCAGUAUGAAAUACAAUCCUGCAUUGAAUUAGACCGACACACUGAGCUGUAUUUUUAACGUGAUAGUAAACAAGGUAUAAACAGUACGCAGGAAGACUUAUCACCUUUAAUACCCGGCAGCUUUUUCUGACUAUAACUGACAGGUUUUUGUUCUUACUCCCUAAUACUGCAUGCUUAAUGAAGAAGCAGCAAAUACCAAUUUUGAAGUCUUUGGUUUAAAACCCACCACCUCCUGCUGUACUGGAGGCCAACAGGCUACCUUGAGACCACCAAGGUGGUUUUAUGUCAAAGAAGACAGUGAUGAAUGGUAUGUUGACGUAUAUUUUUUAGUAAAAAUAAAACAUCAACUUUGUUCAAUCUUUAAGACAGAAGGUCAUGGUCAGACUUGUACAGAAUAACAACCUGUUCACAACACAAACUGUAAAUAAAUAAUGCUAAUGUUAUUAUACAAGUAACAAUGAUAAAAACACAACCAAAUAAAUUAUUUCAACAAUCCUUUCGUAUAAGAGAUAUAAAAGUAAACAGUUCUUACUAUAAAAAAAAGAUCUUUGGCUUUCACCUUUACUUGUAUGACAAUCUAUAUAAUGUAACUCACUUUUGGAAAUCUUAUACUGUGGAUUCAUUUGUUUUCGUGGGCACCAAUUUUCAUGGAUUGAGAAAAACUUGUAUAUUCGUGGAUAUUUAAUUCAUGGUUUUUGGCAAAUCUGCAUACAUUUCUAUUCAAAAUUAAUAAUUUGUGGAAUAUUUAAAUUCGUGGUUCCCUUGUACCCACGAAAUCUACGAAAAUUAGUAAACAAUGAAUUAUAAUGAAUCCACAGUAGUACAUGUGUAUAUAUUUUGUACUUGUCCUUGCAUUGUGGAUGUUCUGUGAUUACAGUAAAAAUAUGUAUAAAUAUUUGUAUCAGAUUCAUAUUAUCAGCAAAAAGCUACUUACACUUAUAAUUAGUGUCAAUCAAACUUAUUGCAACCUCAUGUUAUUGGCAGAAUGUGUCAAUAUUCGCUUAUUUUUUUUCGAAGAAAGAACAAAAUCUCAAAAGUAAAAAUUCGCAUUUUG